GAUUAAUAAUAAUAGUUUUUAAGUUAUUAUAGGGGUGAAAUCUUUAGUUAAGGAUUAAAAAAUGUUUAAUUUAAUUGUUUUAGAAGCUGUGGAUGUUUAGAUAUAAACCAGGAUUAGAUGCCCUGUUAUACUUUACAUAGAAUUUGUUUACUUGGGUAGUAAUAAGUUAUGGUCUUAAAAUCUAAAGGAUUUGGCGGUAUCCAAGUCUGGUUAGAGGAACCUGCACUGUAAACGAUAAUCCACGAACUAUCUUACUCUGUCUUGUUUAUCAGUUUAUAUACCGCCAUUAUAAAGUAAUAUUUAAAAUUAUUUAUUGAAAUAGAAGGUUUCUAGUAUAUUAGGUCAGGGUGUAGCCAAUGAUAGAGUAGUUGUGGGUUACAAUAUAAUAUUUAUAUAGACGGAUAAGGCUUUGAAAUGGUUUUAGAAGGUGGAUUUAAUAGUAAAUAUAUUUUAAUAUGGUAUAUUGAUAGUAGCUCUAGGAUAUGUACAUAUCGCCCGUCGCUC
rnacentral:rRNA from 1 species